GACGAACGCUGGCGGCGUGCCUAACACAUGCAAGUCGAACGUGAUUAGAGAGCUUGCUCUCUAUGAAAGUGGCGCACGGGUGAGUAACGCGUAGAUAAUCUACCUGAUGAUUCGGGAUAACACUUCGAAAGGGGUGCUAAUACCGAAUAAGCCCACGGAGUCCUUGGACUCUGCGGGAAAAGGGGGGGACCUUCGGGCCUUCCGUCAUCAGAUGAGUCUGCGUACCAUUAGCUAGUUGGUAGGGUAAAGGCCUACCAAGGCGACGAUGGUUAGCUGGUCUGAGAGGAUGAUCAGCCACACUGGAACUGAGACACGGUCCAGACUCCUACGGGAGGCAGCAGUGGGGAAUUUUGCGCAAUGGGGGAAACCCUGACGCAGCAACGCCGCGUGAGUGAUGAAGGCCCUUGGGUCGUAAAGCUCUGACAGAGGGAAAGAAAUGCAGGGGAGCUAAUAUCUCCCUUGCUUGACGGUACCCUCAAAGGAAGCACCGGCUAACUCCGUGCCAGCCGCCGCAGUAA
rnacentral:rRNA from 1 species